CCUACGGGCGGCAGCAGUGGGGAAUCUUGCACAAUGGAGGAAACUCUGAUGCAGCGACGCCGCGUGAGCGAUGAAGCCCUUCGGGGUGUAAAGCUCUUUCGGCAGGGACGAUAAUGACGGUACCUGCAGAAGAAGCUGCGGCUAACUACGUGCCAGCAGCCGCGGUAAUACGUAGGCAGCAAGCGUUGUUCGGAAUUACUGGGCGUAAAGAGUGUGUAGGCGGUGCUCUAAGUUCGGUGUGAAAUCUCCCGGCUCAACUGGGAGGGUGCGCCGGAAACUGGAAUGCUCGAGCGUGGGAGAGGAAAGCGGAAUUCCUGGUGUAGCGGUGAAAUGCGUAGAUAUCAGGAGGAACACCUGCGGUGUAGACGGCUUUCUGGACCAUUGCUGACGCUGAGACACGAAAGCGUGGGUAGCAAACAGGAUUAGAUACCCCUGUAGUC
rnacentral:rRNA from 1 species